rnacentral:rRNA from 1 species
GAGUUUGAUCGUGGCUCAGAGUGAACGCUGGCGGCAGGCCUAACACAUGCAAGUCGAACGGCAGCACAGAGGAGCUUGCUCCUUGGGUGGCGAGUGGCGGACGGGUGAGGAAUGCAUCGGAAUCUGCCUAUUUGUGGGGGAUAACGUAGGGAAACUUACGCUAAUACCGCAUACGUCCUACGGGAGAAAGUGGGGGACCUUCGGGCCUCACGCAGAUAGAUGAGCCGAUGCCGGAUUAGCUAGUUGGCGGGUAAAGGCCCACCAAGGCGACGAUCCGUAGCUGGUCUGAGAGGAUGAUCAGCCACACUGGAACUGAGACACGGUCCAGACUCCUACGGGAGGCAGCAGUGGGGAAUAUUGGACAAUGGGCGCAAGCCUGAUCCAGCCAUGCCGCGUGUGUGAAGAAGGCCUUCGGUU